UACGAAGGGGGCUAGCGUUGUUCGGAAUCACUGGGCGUAAAGCGCACGUAGGCGGAUUUGUCAGUCAGGGGUGAAAUCCCGGGGCUCAACCUCGGAACUGCCCUUGAUACAGCAAAUCUAGAGUCCGGAAGAGGUGGGUGGAAUUCCUAGUGUAGAGGUGAAAUUCGUAGAUAUUAGGAAGAACACCAGUGGCGAAGGCGGCCCACUGGUCCGGUACUGACGCUGAGGUGCGAAAGCGUGGGGAGCAAACAGG
rnacentral:rRNA from 1 species